AGUGAACGCUGGCGGUAGGCCUAACACAUGCAAGUCGAACGGCAGCACAGUAAGAGCUUGCUCUUACGGUUGGCGAGUGGCGGACGGGUGAGGAAUACAUCGGAAUCUACUUUUUCGUGGGGGAUAACGUAGGGAAACUUACGCUAAUACCGCAUACGACCUACGGGUUAAAACAGGGGAUCUUCGGACCUUGCGCGAUUGAAUUAGCCGAUGUCGGAUUAGCUAGUUGGCUGGGUAAAGGCCCACCAAGGCAACGAUCCGUAGCUGGUCUGAGAGGAUGAUCAGCCACACUGGAACUGAGACACGGUCCAGACUCCUACGGGAGGCAGCAGUGGGGAAUAUUGGACAAUGGGCGCAAGCCUGAUCCAGCAAUACCGCGUGGGUGAAGAAGGCCUUCGGGUUGUAAAGCCCUUUUGUUGGGAAAGAAAAGCAGCAGGUUAAUACCCCGCUGUUCUGACGGUACCCAAAGAAUAAGCACCGGCUAACUUCGUG
rnacentral:rRNA from 1 species